UAAACUCACAAUGCGCAAAACACAUGUAUUAUCCUAGGAUUACUCUAAACGUUCUUUUACAUGAUUAAUCCUGUUUGGUUUUUAUUAGAUUUUGAUAACAUUUUGGUUUUGGUCCUGUCUUACGUGUAAAUAUAUAGGAGGGUUGAUCCAUGCGGUGUGUAGUCUAGUACAGCCACAGAAUUACGAUUGGUCGACGACGAGGGAAAUCAAAGUGGUGGAAGCUGAGGCUCCAGGGGACGGUAUUAAUGUUCCUGUAGAGGAGCUAAAAGAAGAGAAGCUGAGAAGAGCCAAAGCUUGGAUUGUUAAAUGGGGUCUUGUCUUCACUCUCCUCAUUGUUGUCAUCUGGCCAGUUCUCUCUCUCCCAGCACGUGUGUUUAGCAGAGGAUAUUUCUGGUUUUGGGCAAUUGUGGCUGUAGCUUGGGGAACUAUAGGAUCGAUUGUGAUAAUUGGUUUGCCUUUGAUCGAAAGCUGGGAAACGAUCAAGAGCGUUUGUAUGGGAAUGUUCACUAACGAUAGGUUAAUGAACAAGCUUGAUGACUUGAACCAUAGGCUUCAAGCUUUAACCAAGGCUGUACCAGAAGCUGAGAGGAUUUAUCUGCUUGAAAUCGAGAAGACAAAGAAAACCGAUGAAGAAAGUUGAAGAAAUAUCAAUAUGGUUAUAUGAAAGAUUGAUUUUCUUCUGCUUUUGUUUAUAUGCUUUGCUUUCUCGUUUUUCUAGUUUGUGUGAAAUCAUAUCAGAACUAUCUCCUAUUGUACAAUGUGUUCCUUAUCUAAUGUACUAUGCACAUGCUAAUUUGUUCUUAUUUCACUUGUCGUCCUUCUUUUA